GCUGGGUGUGGUGGCACAUGCCUGUAAUCCCAGUGACUCGGAAGGCUGAGACGGGAGGAUUGCGAGUUCAAAGACAGCCUCUGCAAAAAGCAAGGUGCUAAGCAACUCAGUGAGAGCCCGUCUCUA
rnacentral:sRNA from 1 species